rnacentral:miRNA from 1 species
GUCAGCAGACACUUUCCAGCCAAUCAGCAGCAGACCCUCCCUCCCAGACCCUUCCACCUCCUGGACAGCAUCCAUUUUACAUUCAUUGUGAAGCUGCAUUCUUAGUGAGCUGUCCAGGAGGUGGGAGAGUCUGGGAGGGAGGGUCUGCUGCUGAUUGGCUGGAAUGUGUCUGCUG